AACGAACGUUGGCGGCGCGCUUAACACAUGCAAGUCGAACGAGAAGCCGUAGCAAUACGGUUGUAAAGUGGCAAACGGGUGAGCAAUACAUGGGUAACCUACCUUGAGGUGGGGAAUAACUCCCCGAAAGGGGAGCUAAUGCCGACAAUAUCCACCAGUCUCAUAAGAGAUUGUUGGAAAGCCGAACCGUGGGUUCGGCGCCUCAAGAUGGGCUCAUGUCCUAUCAGCUUGUUGGCGGGGUAAUGGCCCACCAAGGCUGCGACGGGUAGCUGGUCUG
rnacentral:rRNA from 1 species